rnacentral:lncRNA from 1 species
GGUUUGGAUUCACAUCACCAAUGCUUCUUUCAGGUAACAGGAAGAUCCGUAAACUAUGCUGAUUUCAACUGGCAAUUCUGUGGAUGAGACUGCAGGUAUGAAGCCACUGAUCUUCGUGAAGAACCAUGUCGAAGUGCUGGAUCAUGGGAGCCACACCUUGAAGUACAAGACCGUCGAGGGAGGCCACCUCGGCCACACGCUCAAGUCGCACACCAUCGAGCACAAGUACGACGCCUUGAGCGCCGACACCUGCUCUCUGAAGAUCAAGGUGGAGUAUGAUACCAUCGACGACAAGGGGCUCCCCGAGGAGGAGGUGAACAAGAUCAAGGAGGGGUCGGUAUGGGUCGCCAAGGCUGUGGAAGGUUACCUGACCACCAACCCCGCUGCUUAUGC